rnacentral:tRNA from 1 species
GUUUAUUAAAAACAUGUCUUUAUGAUGAUAAUAUAAAGUCGGGCCUGCCCAAUGAUUA